UACGAAGGGGGCUAGCGUUGUUCGGAGUUACUGGGCGUAAAGCGCGCGCAGGCGGUCUUCCAAGUCAGUGGUGAAAGCCCGGAGCUCAACUCCGGAAUUGCCAUUGAAACUGUUAGACUUGAGGAUGAGAGAGGUGAGUGGAAUUCCCAGUGUAGAGGUGAAAUUCGUAGAUAUUGGGAAGAACACCGGUGGCGAAGGCGGCUCACUGGACCGAUACUGACGCUGAGGCGCGAAAGCCAGGGGAGCGAACGGG
rnacentral:rRNA from 1 species